AACGUAGGUUCCGAGCGUUAUCCGGAUUUACUGGGCGUAAAGCGCGUUCAGGCGGUUUGGCAAGUCGGGCAUGAAAUCUCUCGGCUCAACCGGGAGAGGUUGUCCGAUACUGCUGGACUUGAGGGCAGUAGAGGGUGGUGGAAUUCCGGGUGUAGUGGUGAAAUGCGUAGAUAUCGGGAAGAACACCCGUGGCGAAGGCGGUUCUCUGGGACGGUACUGACGCUGAGACGCGAAAGCGUGGGGAGCGAACAGG
rnacentral:rRNA from 1 species